rnacentral:rRNA from 1 species
UUGGAGGGCAGUCUGGUGCAGCAGCCGCGGUAAUUCCAGCUCCAAUAGCGUAUAUUAAGUUGUUGCAGUUAAAAAGCUCGUAGUUGAAUUUCGGGAUCAGAGUGUCGGUCGUGCCUCGGUACGCACUGGUAUUAUUGGUUCCUACCUUCUGAAGAACCGCGAUGUCAUUAAUUUGGUGUCGUGGGGAAUCAGGACUGUUACUUUGAAAAAAUUAGAGUGUUUAAAGCAGGCUUACGCUUGAAUACAUUAGCAUGGAAUAAUGAAAUAGGACGUUUGAUUCUAUUUUGUUGGUUUCUAGGAUUGACGUAAUGAUUAAUAGGGAUAGUUGGGGGCAUUAGUAUUCAAUUGUCAGAGGUGAAAUUCUUGGAUUUAUUGAAGACUAACUACUGCGAAAGCAUUUGCCAAGGAUGUUUUCAUUAAUCAAGAACGAAAGUUAGGGGAUCGAAGACGAUCAGAUACCGUCGUAGUCUUAACCAUAAACUAUGCCGACUAGGGAUCGGAUGAUGUUAAUUUUUUAAUGACUCAUUCGGCGCCUUACGGGAAAC